GGCAUUGCGCAGCUACCAUGCAGUCGAGCGGAACGAGUUAUCUGAACCUUCGGGUGGCGAUAACGGCGUCGAGCGGCGGACGGGUGAGUAAUGCCUAGGAAAUUGCCCUGAUGUGGGGGAUAACCAUUGGAAACGAUGGCUAAUACCGCAUGAUGCCUACGGGCCAAAGAGGGGGACCUUCGGGCCUCUCGCGUCAGGAUAUGCCUAGGUGGGAUUAGCUAGUUGGUGAGGUAAGGGCUCACCAAGGCGACGAUCCCUAGCUGGUCUGAGAGGAUGAUCAGCCACACUGGAACUGAGACACGGUCCAGACUCCUACGGGAGGCAGCAGUGGGGAAUAUUGCACAAUGGGCGCAAGCCUGAUGCAGCCAUGCCGCGUGUGUGAAGAAGGCCUUCGGGUUGUAAAGCACUUUCAGUCGUGAGGAAGGUAGUGUAGUUAAUAGCUGCAUUAUUUGACGUUAGCGACAGAAGAAGCACCGGCUAACUCCGUGCCAGCAGCCGCGGUAAUACGGAGGGUGCGAGCGUUAAUCGGAAUUACUGGGCGUAAAGCGCAUGCAGGUGGUUUGUUAAGUCAGAUGUGAAAGCCCGGGGCUCAACCUCGGAAUAGCAUUUGAAACUGGCAGACUAGAGUACUGUAGAGGGGGGUAGAAUUUCAGGUGUAGCGGUGAAAUGCGUAGAGAUCUGAAGGAAUACCGGUGGCGAAGGCGGCCCCCUGGACAGAUACUGACACUCAGAUGCGAAAGCGUGGGGAGCAAACAGGAUUAGAUACCCUGGUAGUCCACGCCGUAAACGAUGUCUACUUGGAGGUUGUGGCCUUGAGCCGUGGCUUUCGGAGCUAACGCGUUAAGUAGACCGCCUGGGGAGUACGGUCGCAAGAUUAAAACUCAAUGAAUUGACGGGGGCCCGCACAAGCGGUGGAGCAUGUGGUUUAAUUCGAUGCAACGCGAAGAUCCUUACCUACUCUUGACAUCCAGAGAACUUUUCAGAGAUGGAUUGUGCCUUCGGGAACUCUGAGACAUGUGCUGCAUGCCUGUCGUCAGCUCGUGUUGUGAAUUGUUGGGUUAGUCCCGCCACCGAGCGCAACCCCUUAUCCUUUGUUUGGCAGCGAAGUA
rnacentral:rRNA from 1 species